rnacentral:rRNA from 1 species
AUUGAACGCUGGCGGCAGGCCUAACACAUGCAAGUCGAGCGGAGCGGCGGACGGGUGAGUGAUGCCUAGGAAUCUGCCUGGUAGUGGGGGAUAACGUCCGGUAACGGGCGCUAAUACCGCAUACUAUCGGAUGAGCCUAGGUCGGAUUAGCUAGUUGGUGGGGUAAAGGCUUACCAAGGCGACGAUCCGUAACUGGUCUGAGAGGAUGAUCAGUCACACUGGAACUGAGACACGGUCCAGACUCCUACGGGAGGCAGCAGUGGGGAAUAUUGGACAAUGGGCGAAAGCCUGAUGCAGCCAUGCCGCGUGUAUGAAGAAGGCCUUCGGGUUGUAAAGUACUUUCAGCUGGGAGGCGUUACCAGCAGAAGAAGCACCGGCUAACUUCGUGCCAGCAGCCGCGGUAAUAC